rnacentral:lncRNA from 1 species
GGUUGGUGCUCUGGCCCUGCUGCCGGGAGGGCUAUCAGGCCUCAAGGAUGUGGUCCAGACCUUUGUGUGGGGACACAGCAGCUGGCACACUGGGGAUGCUCAGUGAACGUGUGAUGAAUCAACUUAGUAACUGAAUUCUCAGCACGGGUUCUGGGCCAGCCACACCUGCCUGUGAGACACUCUUGUCACUGCCUGACUGUUUUCCAGGGGCUCUCCCUGCCUUAGUUGAAGAGAAACUUGGUAUGGGAGCCUUGGCAGGCCCAGCAGAGGAGGUUUGUGGCUGGAGGACUUUGGCCCCCUCCUAUGGCCUCUCUCCUGUCCCACUGAGUUGUGCCUAUUCAUUGCCAAGGUUCUUGUGUCUUUUUGGGCAGGUGGCUGGGUGCGCACAACCCACAGAGAUGGGGCAGGGCUAUAUGGGGAUUUAUGUGCAGAAUUUAAUAACCUUUUGCCCUUCUCCUGGGCACCGGGAGAGAAGACUGGAUGUCUCUGAGGUAGAGGUGUCCACACCCCUUCCCUACCCGGGGGCCCUGCCUCCCAAGGCUUGGUGCUUCCUUGUUCCUAUGACUCCGAGACCGUCAGAGGCUGGAGAGGGGUGCACUGGGAGGGGGCUGGAGAAGAGGCCUCCCCUGCCUUUGACACCUGGACUGCUCAGUGCUGCCAUCCACUCUGUGUCAGCAUCGAGAGGGUGUUUUAGAGAUGGAAAAAGGCCCUGAUCUUUUCCAUUUUUUGAGUACCUUGAAUAUUAAAAAAAAAAAGAAAAAUGCCAAAAAUGGGUACAAAAAAUUGUAGGUUGUACAGUCUAUUUAAUUGCUGAAUAAAUGAAUGCUUUUUAACACAUAAAAGUAUAAUUAGGCUGGAUAGACCCUCCUUUGGAGGGAAGGCCUGUGGUUUGAGGCCCUUUGUGAAUGAGGUUCAGGACACGUGGCCCUCCUGGUGCUCUGCUCCUCUUCAUCCCCCACGUUAGGUCCAGGCAUCAUUGGGGGCUCUCCUGCCAGUGGGCUCAGGAUCCCACUUUCCUGGUGGACCCAGGCUCUCAGACCAACUCUGUGUCCCUGGGCAGGGGAGUAGAGCCCUCAGGCUGGCCUGGCUCGGCCUGUCACUGGCAGGGUCUCUUUGCUGGUUGGGAUCAACAGGAGGCCAAGGGAACACUCCAGGCAGUGCCUGGGUCACGGCGCCCUCCUCCUAGGUGGGGCCCAUCACUGGGGUCUCCAGGGCCUUGGUUACACACGGGCAAAGGAACCCCUAUAGCUCCCACUCAGGCCUUCUGUGCUUUCAGACCUAAGCAACAGCUCCACCACCGGGGGCGAACUUUCUGCUGGUUUCUUUGUGAUGGUAGCAGCUGUUGGCUCACUCCUCACGUGCCUAUGUUGGCUGGGCAUUGUGAUAAGAGCUGAGAAUGUGGUGAGGGUUAUUCCCAGUGGCUGUCCUAGAGGGGUUGACCAUUGACAUGGGAGAAAAGCACAAGAGCAUUGGUCACGUCCAUGUAACCGAGGGAGCGCUCUGCUCUGGUGGUGACAGAAUCCCAGAAGAGGGCUGCCCACAGGGGCCUAAGUUCCUGUGGGCUUCUGGAGCAGAGGGAGCCUGAGCUGAAUCCCAUGAAGAUAGGACUUAGCCAGGCCGGGAGUGGGUGGUGAGAGAAUUUAAGCGAUGGGGGCACCAGUGUGGGCAAAGGCACAAAGGUUAACAGGGCGAGGGGGAGAAAGGGGGGAACUGAGUAUCGAGGAAACAAGUGGGAGGUGGGUGUGGAGAGGGAUGGGGAGGCAGAGACAGUGAGCAGCAGGGCAGCACAAGGGUCAGACGGACGUUUGGAUGGAACUCUUUGGCUGCAGUCUGUGGGGGACAGAUCCAAGUGAGGUUAAGAGUAGGGCAAGAGUGCGGGCGGCUGCAAUGGACCGGGCAGGAGAUAGACGCUGAGCGUGGAGGACGGGAGGUGGGCUCGAGCGGAGGGAAUGAGUGAUUGCACGUGUAGGGGUGGCCCUGGGUACAUGCCACCAAAUAAGAAAGGAACAGAGUUGCAAGGUGGGGGUGACCAUGGCGAUGUCUCUGUGGCCUCAGGGGAAAUGGAAAGGAAGGUGUCCAUGGCUCCUGACUGGGCUAGGCUGUUGGACAUCAGCAUUCACGAGGCUUCUGUGAUCAGAGCUGAUGGGAGAUGCAGCCCAGGGAGGGUGGGGGGAGCGGUGGGCGAGGAGGGAUCCCUGGAGACAAAUGUGUAAGGGACAGGACCGAGGAGCCAGAUGAGGCAGAGAGAGCCAGGCAGGGGAGAGAGGAGAGUUUGGCAGAGAACCCAGAGAGUGAGGUGGGAGGGCUGUCCCCCACCAGCCUGUGAAGGAACUCCUGGAGGGCAGUGAUGUCCCCUAUGGUACCCAACAUGUCUGACAUACAGUAGACAGUGAAUUCCUUGAGGGAAAGGAUGAUGUCCAUUUGGCUUUGCAUCUGCAAGGAAGCAGCUCAGUAGCACAUAAGAACACUCUGGUACAUUCUUUUCGAAUGACAGUGGUUUAAAAACAGCAAGGUCCUGUGUAAAGGUCCAGACUCCAGGCAAAUGUCAUUGGAAAGUAGCCAGCAUGGAGAUCCCACAGUACCCCUCCCUCUAGUAUUCUGAUAUUCUCUGGAGCUGGGAAGCUGGCAAAAAAAAUAAAUAAAUAAAUAAAUAAUCAAGAUUUUAAAGUUUCAAUGGAUUGUUUUCUGUUUCUUUCUACAUUCUCUCCACAUCCUCUCUGGUGGAAGCCCGCCUGUUUUCCUAGCAUCACUGAAGAAUAUGGCGGCCUCCAUUCCAGCUUGAGGUCUGCCCCUUCCUAGGCAGCCGUGAGCUUUCAGUUGAGACACUUGGCAUCCGUUAAAAGGAGAAUAAUAAAAAACGUCAUAGCCAUCUCACUGGCUAUUUCUUCCAGUUGGUGGGAUAGUGCCUGUAAAAAUGUUUUAAAAACAGAGGAAGUGGCAAAUUGGCCUCCAUGAUAAACAGAACUUGAUGCCACAUUUUCUAAAAGUUAAAAUCUCAAUGAACAGAGCAACCCCUAGUGUUUUAUUUCUCGGGGCAAAUGCUGUGUUGCAUUUACGCAUCUGCAAUGUUUUACCAAGAUCCAAGGGGGGUUGUUAUCUUAAUUAACAGGGAGUCUUUCGUUUAUAUAUAGAACUUUUAAUGUAUUUGGAGCUUUUAAUAGAUUUGCAUCUUGCAACUUAUAGUAUCUCACCCCCUGAAGGAGGUAGGGUGCACAUGGUGGAGCAGCUGAUCCUUAAAUUCCAGCCCCUCCCCAUUCUCCCCUCAACCCUGGGCUGCUGGGUGCUCCUUUGAGUGUAGGAGGUGUCAGAGGUACAGGAAGUACAGCUCCUGGGCCUCUGAUGGCUGCGGGGGAGGAUGACUUUAGGGUCUCAUUCAAAAACUGGCCAUGAGCCCAGCCUGGCACGGGAUCUCUGUCUCUGAGUUAAUGGUGUGGGGGCUCCCAGCAGUGGUUGACCCAAUGGACCAACUCCAUUGUAGGAAAUGUAGGCUCUGCUUCUAUAGUGUCCCAAAUGGGGUGUGGGGUGACAAUGUGGAAGUGACAGUGGUUGAAACAACUCCUACCCUUCAACCCCUAGGGUUGCCUUGGACAGAGGCCAAAGGAAGGAGAUAGGAAUACACAGGGAUUUGUGCUUUGUAUUUUUUUUUUUCAUUGAGAAGGGGGAAUUGUGAGGGAGAAUAAAAAAGGCUGUGGAAAAGGAAGGCUUGUUUGUUUUAAGGGAAAUUAGAGUGGGAUCAGGAAAGACAGUCCUUCCAAAUGAUAUUUAGUUAACACUGGGGCUCUGGGGUGAUAAUGGCUAUUGUUUUUGAGUUCUUAUUAUCUACCUGGCACUGGCUAGGUUCUCCAAUUGGGUAUGGACUUCUCAAGUCACAAACCCCACUGUAGAUGAAAUACCUUCUAUGACUCAAUUUCUAUUCAGGGUUCACAUUUCAUCCAAUAGUAGAAACUUAAUCAAUUCAAGAUAAUUCAGCCAAUCUCAGUUUUCUUAGCAUGCUUGGGAGUUGGCAAAUUUAUUCUUUCCCCAGGGAGUUGCAUCUAAGAUCUGGGGACCUUAACAGACAUUGAGGGGGAGGGGGUGAUUGUGGGAGAGUGGUGGUCUUGAGAGCUAGUCUCCUUGGAUCCUAACCCUGACAAGUUUUGGGGCCUGUGGGACUUCUCCCAGCCACUUGUGUGUGUGUCAUCUCAGCUUCUCUCUCCUGAACCCCCAGGAGGCUGCAGGUCCUCUGGGCCCAUUUCAGCCCUGUGACAGCUUUGCCUUUGGCCGCCUUCCUUUACAGGCGCAUGAGCAAGUUCUUGGGCCUCGCAGCUUGUCUGGGCCCCUCUGAGCCAGCGUGGGCUUCAGAGGCACUCUGCACAGUCCUGCUGUGUUGCUUUCUUCCCAGCCUAGAUGCUGGCCUUUCCCUGGGAACACCUCCCUCUCCGAGGUGCAGGUGUGGAAGUAGGAACAGGGAUGCUCGAGCAAGUCUUCCUCCAAACCCACUUUUAUGCCAGGACUUGGCCUUCCAAUCCUCUCCAAAGACACUGGCUGGUUUCUCUUUGCAUCUCGGCUAGAACAACCUGGCCCUGAAGGCAGGGAGUGGAUGCUGCCCGGACCAAGAGGAGGAGCAGUUAAGACACACGGGCACAUGUUUUAAAGUCUUGUGAUGCCUGCUUGUUCUCUCUGCUUCAACUAUUCUGAAGUAUUUGCUGCAUCCCCAUUCUGUGACUACAAGGCUGAGACACAUCCGGAGGGAUGUUUUUGGUCCCCUAUCAUGAGGUGGGAAGUGGCAGAGGUGGGGUCCAGAGUUAGGAUCUUUUCACUCCAGCUCCCAGUCUGUCCUCUCUACCAAGCCCUGAUCUCUAAAAUGAAAGCCCUCAUCAGCGUGUUCUGUUUCAGGGGCAACAUCGCUCUGCCUUGAGCCUUUCCUCAUUCUUCAGAGCAUUAUUUACAAUAGCCAAGAUAUGGAAGCAAGCAAGGUGUCCAUGGAUAGAUGACUGGAUAAAGAAGAUGUGGUACAUAUACACGAUGGAAUAUUACUCCGCCAUGAAAAAUAACGAAAUCUUGCCAUUUGAAACAACAUGGAUGGACCUAGAGGGUAUUAUGCUAAGUGAAAUAAGUCAGACAGAGAAAGACCAAUACCAUAUGGUUGCACUUAUAUGUGGGAUCUAAAAAAUAAAAGACAUAAACAAGACAAAACAGAAACUCAUAAAUACAAAGAACCUCCUGGUGGUUGCCAGAGGGAAGAAGGUGGGUGAUGGGCAAAACAGGUGAAGGAGAUUAAGAGGCACAAACUUCCAGUUAUAAAAUAAAUACGUCAUGGGGAUGUAAUGUACAGCAAAGGGAAUAUAGUCAAUAAUACUGUAAUUACUUUGUGUGGUGACAGAUGGUAACUAGACUUAUCAUGGUCAUCACUUUAUAACAUACAUAAAUGUCGAAUCAGUAUGUUGUGCACGUGAAACUAGUAUAAUAUUGUAUGUCAAGUAUGCUUCAAUAAAAAAAAGUAGAGCCAGCCACCAUGGCCUAGCGGUUAAAUUCAGUUCCCAGGCAUGGACAUACACCACUCAUCUGUCAAUGGCCAUGCUGUGGUGGUGGCUCACAUAGAAAAAAAGGAAGGAUUGGUAGCAGAUGUUAGCUCAGGGCAAAUCUUCCGAGCAAAAAAAAAAAAAAAAUGGUAAAUUUAAUGAGUACGUUUUAAGAAAAGCAAUUCUCCAGAUUUCUGUAAGAAUUUUCUUAACACGCCUCAAAGGAUCCAGAAGUCCCAGAAGUCCUCAGUCUGCAUCCUCUGAUUAGACUCGCUCUUCCUGAAGCAGCAGUGCUCAAGUUCAUAAAUGAUUUCCUACCCAGUUCUGUUGUGUUGUGAUUUAGUUACUACCUUCCAUGAUUAUUUCCUACUCUUCAAAUGCAUUGUUAUAUUAUUAGUUUCAUAGGUUUCUGUGGGCUAAACUUGGAACCUUACCACAACCGAUUGCAUUAUUUCUUUAGAAGUGUGUUUCGAGUUCCUUAUCCAAUGUCUAGAUGUCUUUUUAGGACUCAUUCUUUUCAGCGGGAAACUUCUUAUGUUUUGAUAUUAAAUUUAGGCAAAUUUUCUCUCUGGCAAACAAUUUGAGAAAAAUGUGGUAUCUUUAUUAUUUUAGCCUAAGAGUUUAGCUCCUGCAAUAGUAUGUACUACUCAAAAAUGCAGGCACGAAGUUUAUAGAGCAGGGAGGAUUAUUAAGAAAAACAGACUAAGAGAAAUGGACAUCUUUCCCCAUCCUCAUCCCAGGAAAGAGAGGCUGGCGCCAUUGGGUUUCUUUAUUAAUGUUUAUUUCCCUUUCCUAAGAUUUCUCUCCGUUAGUGAUUAUUUGCAUGUGUAUCAUAAGGAAGGCCAAAGGGAUUGAAUGAACCUGUGUCCCUUAGUGGCAGAUAGAAUAAAUCAACUUUCAGCAAGUGGUCAGGUCAAGCUGCAGGCCCUUGGGUCUCUAAGGCCCCUGAGAGGAUGAUAGCUGAUGUCUAAGGGGUCAGUCAUCUUCAAGCCCAAGAAGGGCUUCAAGAAGGGUUGAUGAAUUGGCACAACCCAAAGACGGUUUUCAUUUUCUUCCAAGACUGGGAAAGAUGAGUGGGGCUACAUGGCAAGACCAGUGCCCCAUUGGUUGGGCACCAGUGUUUGGCCACAUAUCUGGAAAAUCCAGGCUAGCAUGGAAUUUCACAGACUUCUCCAAAAUUCCAGGGGCACUGAGUAUACUUGAUGGAUAUUUGCACUCACGACGCACCACCCUUAUGCCCUAGAAUCCGUUGGGCUGUUUCAGUGCAUCCUUCCCAGCCCUCCUGAGGCUUUGGUGUGCCUGGGAAUUUACAUUCCCCCUCCCAGCCCAGGAUCUGACCCCUCACCUUUUUUUUUCCACACUAACCAGGGGUUUAAUAGAAAUACAACCAGAACAGAAAAACUCAAAUCAUACAUAAAUCCAAACCAGAAUGCCAAGUGAUCAACACAAAGAGCAGAAUUUUUGACUCUUCAACUCAGUCAGCCCCCAAAUAAAAACCAACAAAGAUAGUGGAUCAAGAGAAUAGAGACAAAGAGUCACGUGAAGCUACAGGAGGAGAGUUGGGGAUGUUAUGUGUGUGUCACAGGGAACAGUCAAAGAAGACCCCAUGGUCAGGGCAGACCAUGGGCCAGGAUGGCCUAGCCGAUAGUGAGAGCCCACCUCCUUUGCCUGCCAAAUGGACAGCUCUGAGGAGGACUUCUACUCCAGAAUUGCCCUGUAGAAGGCAGCUGAAAGUCACCCUCUGGGGGUUUAGUCUGAAAUUGUACCCCUGACUGCCAUCCUCCCAGUUUUUGCCCUGCUUGCCCCGUUCUCUUGUGGUUUUCUCCUGGGAGCUCUUCCUUAGUCCAAUGUUGGGACACAAAUCUUUGUCUUACGGUCUGCUUCUGGGAAACCCUACCUAAGUCAGUGGUUCUUUCUGAAUGUGAGCCACAGUGGAGGGCAUGCUAGUGGUUAGGUCCUGCCUGUCUACUAGUCAACAUGUAGAGUGUUCUUUAAGCAGGACAAUCUUUUGCGAAAAGCCUCCCACCCAGAGACAUUAGUAGUUUCCCUCAUGGGCAUGGAAUUGGGUGGCCAGGACCUAGAACAAAGGCAGGUCCCUAGAUGAGCCCUAAAUAAACAUUGUUCCUGGUGGCCAUGGACUGGCCUCCAUCCUAGGCAAAGGAACCAGGCGAUAGGCAAGGUGAACGUGUAAAUAAUAAAGAGCUAUUGAAGGACCAAAUCCUAGGGUAAAAGCUAACAAAAGGAGUGACAGAGAUGGAGAGACUAAUAAUGGCGUACUUAUUAGAGAUGCUUCCUUGGGGAGCAGUGGUAGCUGUUGUGUCUCCAAAUCAGAAAGUUAUACCGCCAGCACCAUUCUACUCACUAUUGCUGUGUAACAAACCCCUCCCAAACUUAGUGGCUUAGAAUAACAGCAAUCAUUUAUUUUGCUUAUAAGUCUGCAAUUUGGGCAGGGCUCAAUGGGGACUGCUUAUCUCUGCUCCACGUGCUGGUGGCUUAGGUGGCUCAACUGGGGCUGGAAGGCUCACUUCUAGGAUGGCUCGUUCACGUGGCUGGCAAGUUGGUGUUGGAUUUCAGCUCCUUUCACAUGGAUCUUUUCACAGAGAAGAUUGAACUUCCUCACAGUAUGACAUCUAGCUUCCAAGAGCAACUGCCCUAAGAAUCAGGGAGUGGAAAUUGAUGGUUUAAGAUGUUAGCCUGGAAACUGGCACAGCGUCACUACUGCUGUAUUUUGUUGGUCAGUCACAGAGCCCAGAUUCAAGUGGAAGGGUCAACGACCCCAUCUAUCAAUGAAAGGAAUAUCAAUACAUUUUGCAGCCGUGUUUUUAAACUGCCACAAGCAUCUUCCAUCAAAUUGAGGCAGCUGGAAACCUGCGAGUCAUCUUUGCUGCCUCCAUUUCCUUUAUCCCUACGUUUAAUGCACCACUAAGACCUGUUUUUUAUUGUGGUAAAAUACACAUAACAUAAAAUUCACCAAUUUAUUUUUAAUUUUUAAAAAUUUUUAAAUUUUUGGUGAGGAAGAUUCACCCUGAGCUAACACCUGUGCCAAUUUUCCUCUGUUUUGUAUGUGGGAUGCCUCCACAGCAUGGCUGAUGAGUGGAGUAGGUCUGUGUCUGAGAUCUGAACCUGAGAACCCAGGCAACCAAGGAGGAGUUGGGAAAACUUCAACCACUCAGCCACGGGGCUGGCUCCAAAUUCACCAUUUUGAUAAUUUUAAAGUAUACAAUUCAGUGGCAUUUAGUACAUUUAUGACUUAAAUGUAAACCUUCACCAAUAUCUAGAUUCAGAGCAUUUCCAUCAUUCCAAAAAGAAACUCUGGAGCCAGCCCUGAUGGCCUAGUGGUGAAAGUUCAGCACACUCUCCUUCAGCAGCCCAGGUUCACUUCCUGGGUGCAGAACCACACCUCCCCGUCUGUCCAUUGCCAUGCUGUGGCAGUGGCUCACGCGGAAGAACUAGAAAGACUUACAACUAGAAUAUACAACUAUGUACUGGCGUUUGGGGAGGAAAAAUAGAGACAGAGAGAGAGAGGAAGAUUGGCAACAGAUGUUAGCUCAGAUCUAAUCUUUAAAAAAAAACACAACUCUGUAUCCAUUUGUUACUCCAUUCCUCCUACCCCCCAGCCCCUGGCCAUGACAAAUCUGCUUUCUAUCUCUGUGGAUUUGCCAAUGCUGGAUAUUUCAUAUGCUGGAAUCAUACAAUAUGCGGCCUUUGUGUUUGGCUUCUUCCACUUAGCAUAAUAUUUUCAAGGUUUAUCCAUGUUAUAACAUGUAUCAGUAUUUCAUUUCUUUGUAUUGCUGAGUAAUAUUCCAUCAUAUGGAUAUACCACAUUUUGUUUAUCCAUUUAUCAGUUGAUGACAUUUGAGUUGUUCCCACUUUUGGCUAUUGUGAGUAGUGCUGCUAUGAAUAUUUGUAUAUAAGUUUUUGUUUGAACACCUGAUUUCAAUUCCUUUGGGUAUAUAUCUAGGAGUAGAAUUGCUGCAUCAUAUGGUAAUUCCACGUUUAACUUAUUGAGGAACUCCCAUACUGUUUUCCAUAGUGGCUGCAUCAUUUCAACUUACCACCAACAAUGUAUGAGGGCUCCAAUUUUUCCACAUUCUCACCAAGACUUGUUAUUUUCUAUCGUGAGUGUAAAGUGGUAACUUGUGGUUUUGGUUUGCAUUUCCCUAACGACUAAUGAUGCUGAGCAUCUUUUCAUGCUUGGUCUGUUGGUCAUUUGUAUUUCUUCUUUGGAGAAAUGUCUGUUCAAGCCUUUGGACAUUUUUUAAUUGGGUUGUCUUUUUGUUGUUGACUUGUAAGAGUUUCUUGUAUAUUCUGGACACUAGACACUUCCCAGAUAUAUAAUUAAAAAUAUUUUUCUCCCAGUCUGUCAGUUGUCUUUUUUACUGUCUUUAUAGAGUUCUUUGGUAAAUAAAAGUUUUAAAUUUUGAUGAAGUCUAAUUUACUUUUUCUUUUGUUGCUGCUUUUGGUAUUUCUGAAAAUCCAUUGCCAAUUUUUUUUUAUUUUUUUGAGGAAGAUUAGCACUGAGCUAACGUCUGCUGCCAAUCCUUCUCUUUUUGCUGAGGAAUACUGGCUCUGAGCUAACAUUCAUGCCCAUCUUCCUCCACUUUAUAUGUGGGAUGCCUGCCACAGCAUGGCUUGAUAAGCGAUGUGUAGGUCUGCACUCAGGAUUAGAACCUGUUAAACCCAGGCUGCUGAAGCCAAACGUGCGAACUUAAGUCCUGUGCUACUGGGCUGGCCCCUCCAUUGCCAAAUUUAAGGUCAUGAAGACUUACUACUGUUUUCUUCUAACAGUUUUAUAAUUUUAGCCUUUAUAUUUAGGUCUUUGAUCUUUUUUGAGUCAAUUUUUGUAUAUGAUGUGAGGUAAGAGUCUGACUUCAUUCUUUCGUAUGUGGAUAUCCAGUUGUCCCAGGACCGUUUGUUGAAAAGAUGAUUCUUUCCUCAUUAAGUGGUCUUGGUACCCUUGUCAAAAGUCAAUUGCCCAUAGAUGGAUGGGUUUAUUUCUGGACUUUUAAUUCUAUUCCAUCGAUCCAUAUGCCUAUCCUUAUGCCAGUACCACACUAUUUUGAUUACUCUUAGCAUUGUAUUAACUUUUGAGAUUGGGAAGUGUGUAUUUUCCAAUAUUGUUCUUUUUGAAGAUUAUUUUGGCCAUUUGGGGUCCCUUAUAAUUUCACAUGAAUUUUGGGAUUGGCUUUUCCAUUUUGGCAAAAAAGACCACUGAGAAUUUGAUAGAGAUUGUGUUGACUCUGUGGAACGUCAGGGAGUAUUGUGAUGUUAACAAUAUUAAGUCUUCCAAUAAAUGAACACAGGAUGUCUGUCCAUUUGUUUAGGCCUUUAAUUUCUCUGAGCAAUGUUUUGUAGGAUUCAGUGUACAAUUCUUGUAUCUCCUUUGUUAAAUUUAUUCCUAAGUAUUUUAUCCUUUAGAUGCUAUUGUAACUGGAAUUGUUCUCUUAAUUUUCUUUUCAGAUUGUUUAUUGCUAGUGUAGAGAAAUACAACAGAUUUCUGUAUGUUGAUCUUGUAUCCUGUAACUUUGCUGAACUCAUUUGUUAGCUCCAAUAGUUUUUCAUCGAUUUUAUCUUAAAAAGAUUUAAUCUGGGGCCAGCCCGGUGGUGCAGCAGUUAAGUUCGCACGUUCCACUUCGGCAGCCCGGGGUUUGCCAAUUCGGAUCCCGGGUGUGGACAUGGCACCAUUUGACACGCCAUGCUGUGGUAGGCAGCCCACAUAUAAAGUAGAGGAAGAUGGGCACGGAUGUUAGCUCAGGGCCAGUCUUCCUCAGCAAAAAGAGGAGGACUGGCAGGUUAGCUCAGGGCUAAUCUUGCUCAAAAAAAAAAAAAGAUUUAAUCUUAUAUAGAUUUUCUCUAUAUUAGAUCAUGUUGUCUGUUAUCUGCAAGUAGAGAGAGUUUUACUUCUUCCUUUCCAAUCUGAGUGCCUUUUAUCUCUUUUUCUUGCCUUAUUGGACUGUCUAGAACUUACAGUACAGUGAUAAACGGAAGUGGAAAACGUGUUCAUCAUUAUCUUGUUCCUGAUUGAGAGGAAAGCUUUCAGUCUUUCACCAUUGAGUUUGUUAGCUGUGGGUUUUUCACAAAUAUGUUUGAUCACGUUGAGGAAAUUGCCUUUUUUCCUAGUUUGUUGAGUGUUUUUAUCACAAAAGGGUGUUCAAUUUAGUCAAAAAUUUUUUCUGUAUCAAUUGAAAUGAUCAUAUGAUAUUUUCUUUCAUUUUAUUAACGUGGUGCAUUAUAUUAGUUGAUUUUUAUAUGUUGAACUACCCUUGACAUCCUGGAGUAAAUCCUACUUGGUCUUGGUGGAUAGCCAUCUUAAUGUGCUGCUGCAUUCAGUUUGCUAGUAUUUUGUUAAGAAUUUUUGCAUCUGUAUCCACAAGGGCUAUUGGUCUGGGUUUUCUUUUGAUGGGUUUGGCUUUGGUACCAUGGUAAUGUUGGCCUUGUAGAAUGUUAGGAAGUAUUCUCUCCUCUUAAGUUUUUGGGAAGAUUUUGAGAAAGAUUGGUGUUAAUUCUUUUUUAAAGUUGGUUUGGUUGAAUUCAUCAGUGAAACCAUUUGAUCCUGGGCUUUUGUUGUUAUUGGGAAGUUUUUAAGUGUUGAUCCAAUCUCUUUACUGGUUAUAGGUCUGUUCAGAUUUUCUAUAUCUUCUUGAGUCAGUUUUGAUAGUUUGUGUGUUUUUAGGAAUUUCAUUUCAAUUCAUCUAGAUUAUCUAAUUUGUUGCUGUACAAUUUUUUAUAGUAGUCUUUUAUAAUCCUUUAUACUUGUGUAAUGUCCCCACUUUCAUUUAAGUUUUAGUAAUUUGAGUCUUCCUUCUGUUUUUCCUGGUCAGUCUAGCUAUAAGUUUAAUUUUGUUGAUAUUUUCAAAGAAUCAACUUUUGUUUUCAUUGAUUCUCUCUAUUGUUUUCCUAUUCUCUAUUUCAUUUAUCUCCACUCUAAUGUUUAUUAUUUCCUCCUUCUGCUAGUUUUUGGUUUAUCUGCUCUUCUUUUUUUUAGUUCCUGAACAUGUAAAGUUAGGUUGUUGAUUUGAGAUCUUAUUUUUUAAUGUAGGCAUUUACAGUUAUAAAUUUCCCUCUGAGAGCUCCUUUUUCUGCAUCCCAUAAGUUUUGGGAUCUUGUGUUUUAAUAUUCUUUUGUCUCAAAGGAUUUGCUAAGUCUCCUUGUGAUUUCUUCUUUGACCCAUUGAUUGUUUAAGAGUGUGUUGUUUAAUUUCUGCAUUUUUGUGAAUUUUCCAGCUUUCCUUCUGUUAUUGAUUUCUAGUUUCACUGCAUUAUUGCCUGAGAAGAUACUUUGUGGGUAAUUUCAACCUUUUAAAAUUUACUGAAACUUGUUUUGUGGCCUGACAUACGAUCUAUCCUUGUGAAUCUUCCAGGAACACUUGAAAAGAAUAUAUAUUAUGCUAUUGUCGAGGAGAGUGUUUUGUAUGUGUCAGUUAAGUCAUGUUGGCUUAUGAUGUUUUUCAAGUGCUCUCUUCCUUAUUGAUCUUCUGUCCAGUUGUUCUAGUCAUUGUGAAAGUGAGUGUAGUGAAAUCUCCAACUAUUAUUAUAGAAUUGUAUAUUUCUCUCUUCAAUUCUGUCAGUUUUUCUCUUGAAAUAUUUUGGGGCUCUGUUGUAGAUGUAUAUAUGUUUAUAAUUGUUAUGUCUUUUUGAUGGAUUGUAUCUUCAUCAUUAUAAAAUGUUCUCCCUUGUCUGAAGUAAAAAUUUUUGCCUUAAAAUCUAUUUUGCCUUAUUAGUAUAGCCACUGCAGCUCUCUUUUGGUUACUAUUUGCAUGGAUUAUCUUUUUUCCAUUCUUUCACUUUCAAUUUCCCUAUGUGUUUGGAUCUAAAAAGAGUCUCUUGUAGACAGCAUAUAGUUGGAUCAUUUAAAAAAUCCAUUUGGCCAAUCUCUGCCUUUUAAUUGAAAAGUAUAUUAGACAGCGUACUCCAGAGAAACAGAACCAACAGUAUAUAUAUAGUGGAGGCUUGGAAAGUCCAAAAUCUGAUGAAGUAGGCUGGUGGGCUGGAGACUCAGAAAAGAGUUGCCGUUUGAGUCCAAAGUCAGUCUGUUGGCAGAAUUCCUUCUUGGUCAGGUUCGAUCAGUCUUUGUUCUAUCAAGGCCUUUAAGUGAUUGGAUGAGGCCAACUCACACUAUGGAAGGUCAUCUGCUUUACUCAAAGUCCCCUGAUUUAAAUGUUAAACUCAUCCAAAAAAAUACGUUCACAGAAACAUCCAGAAUCGUCUUUGACCAACUAUGUGGGUACUGUGGCCCAGCCAAGUUGACACAUAAAAUGGACCAUCAGAAGUCCACUCCUUGUCAACUUGGCACUCAUACACAGCUCCUUAAAGAAUACUUAAUCUCCAAAUAAAGACAAUAACAAGGUCACACUUCUGCCUAACAUGAUAUAACUAUCCUGCGUACAACCCAAGACAUACUAACACUUUCCUCAGAAGAGAAUGGAAAAGUCCUUGGGUGAUGUUUACUCUUCUUGAUAUCCUGUAACUUAAAUCCUAUGAUAUAAAGUCAAUGCAUCUUGUAUUACAUGAUAAAGGGAUAAGAGAAGGAAGAAGGGCCAGCUCCGGGGCCGAGUGGUUAAAUUCACGCACUCCACUUUGGUGGGCCAGGGUUUCAUGGGUUUGGAUCCUGGGCACGGACAUGGCACCGCUCAUCAGGCCAUGCUGAGGCAGCGUCCCAGGUAGCAAAACCAGAGGCACUCACAACUAGAAUAUACAACUAUGUACUGGGGGGCUGUGGGGAGAAGAGGAAGAAAGAGGAG